UCUCCCGUUUAUUCUCAUUCAUCUGCAAAUCGGCUGUUCCUAGCCAUCGCGCUCCCUCACAGGGUUUUACUGCCAGAUCAGUAUCAGCAUCGAGAACCAGGAGGCCACAUUCACCUGAGGCUGCUUGGCCCACCACCAGUUCCCAUCCUUUGGAGACCAAAAAGCAGUUCAUAAAAGCUGGCUGGACACUAAGGAUAUUCCUGGUACAUUUUCCCUUAAGGAAUAAAGCAAUGUCAAGAUAUUCUCAGAUGAAAGAAAAUAAGAAAACAUCACCUGAAGACCCACUCUACAAGAAAUGCAAAAUGAAGUUCUUCAUGCUGCAGAAAAAUGACACUUGAGAGAAACUUGGCUUUUGAGUAAUAAAGGGAAGUCAAUGAUAAAUAGCUAGGAUAAUAUUUUUUUUCCUCUGAACUUCUCUCAAAUACUUAUGACUAUUAAAAGCAAAAAUUAUAA